rnacentral:rRNA from 1 species
CCUACGGGUGGCUGCAGUGGGGAAUAUUGCACAAUGGGGGAAACCCUGAUGCAGCGACGCCGCGUGAAGGAAGAAGUAUUUCGGUAUGUAAACUUCUAUCAGCAGGGAAGAAAGUGACGGUAACUGACUAAGAAGCGCCGGCUAACUACGUGCCAGCAGCCGCGGUAAUACGUAGGGGGAAAGCGUUCUCCGGAUUGACUGGGUGUAAAGGUAGCGUAGGCGGCGAUGCAAGUCAGAAGUGAAAGCCCGGGGCUCAACUCCGGGACUGCUUUUGAAACUGGAAGGCUAGAUUGAAGGAGAGGAAAGUGGAAUUCCUAGUGUAGCGGUGAAAUGCGUAGAUAUCAGGAGGAACACCAGUGGCGAAGGCGGCUUGCUGGACUGUAAAUGACGCUGAGGCUCGAAAGCGUGGGGAGCAAACAGGAUUAGAUACCCCAGUAGUC